rnacentral:rRNA from 1 species
AAACCAACAGGGAUUGCCCUAGUAACGGCGAGUGAAGCGGCAACAGCUCAAAUUUGAAAUCUGGCCCUCGGGUCCGAGUUGUAAUUUGUAGAGGAUGCUUUGGGCGCGGUGCCUUCCGAGUUCCCUGGAACGGGACGCCUUAGAGGGUGAGAGCCCCGUACGGUUGGACACCAAGCCUCUGUAAAGCUCCUUCGACGAGUCGAGUAGUUUGGGAAUGCUGCUCUAAAUGGGAGGUAAAUUUCUUCUAAAGCUAAAUAUUGGCCAGAGACCGAUAGCGCACAAGUAGAGUGAUCGAAAGAUGAAAAGCACUUUGAAAAGAGGGUUAAAUAGUACGUGAAAUUGUUAAAAGGGAAGCGUUUGCGACCAGACCUUUUCCUGGCGGAUCAUCCGGUGUUCUUCACCGGUGCACUUCGCCAGGUCGAGGCCAGCAUCGGUUUUCCGCAGGGGGAUAAAAGCUUGGGGAACGUAGCUCCUCCGGGAGUGUUAUAGCCCCUCGCACAAUACCUUUGCGAGGACCGAGGACCGCGCCUCCGGGCAAGGAUGCUGGCGUAAUGGUCGUCAACGAC